CUAGUCUUAUCGGUGGAUCA
rnacentral:rRNA from 1 species